CCUACGGGAGGCAGCAGUGAGGAAUAUUGGUCAAUGGGCGGAAGCCUGAACCAGCCAAGUAGCGUGCAGGAUGACGGACCUACGGGUUGUAAACUGCUUUUAUACGGGAAUAACGCGCCUUACGUUUAGGGCUUUGCAUGUACCGUAUGAAUAAGGACCGGCUAAUUCCGUGCCAGCAGCCGCGGUAAUACGGCAGGUCCGGUCGUUAUCCGGAUUUAUUGGGUUUAAAGGGAGCGUAGGCCGCAUGUCAAGCGUGCGGUGAAAGGUUCGGGCUCAACCCGGGCCUUGCAGCGCGAACUGGCGUGCUUGAGUCCGCGGAAAGCAGGCGGAAUUCGUCGUGUAGCGGUGAAAUGCUUAGAUAUGACGAAGAACCCCGAUUGCGAAGGCAGCUUGCUGCAGCGGAACUGACGCUGAUGCUCGAAAGCGCGGGUAUCGAACAGGAUUAGAUACCCGGGUAGUC
rnacentral:rRNA from 1 species